rnacentral:rRNA from 1 species
UACGAAGGGGGCUAGCGUUGCUCGGAAUUACUGGGCGUAAAGCGCACGUAGGCGGCUUUCUAAGCGGGGGUGAAAUCCCUGGAGCUCAACUCCAGAACUGCCCUUCGAUACUGGAGAGCUUGAGUCCGGGAGAGGGUGAGUGGAACUGCGAGUGUAGAGGUGAAAUUCGUAGAUAUUCGCAAGAACACCAGUGGCGAAGGCGGCUCACCUGGCCCGGU